rnacentral:rRNA from 1 species
GACGAACGCUGGCGGCGUGCCUAAUACAUGCAAGUCGAACGCAGUGGGGACGGGUGAGUAACCCGUGGGUAACCUCCCAUCAGAGGGGAUAACACUUGGAAACAGGUGCUCAACCGAUACUGAUGGAUGCACCCGCGGUGCAUUAGCUAGUUGGUGAGGUAACGGCUCACAAAGGCCACGAUGCAUAGGCGACCUGCGAGGGUGAUCGGCCACACUGGGACUGAGAAACGGCCCAGACUCCUACGGGAGGCAGCAGUAGGGAAUCGUCGGCAAUGGACGAAAGUCUGACCGAGAAACGCCGCGUGAGUGAAGAAGGUUUUCGGAUCGUAAAACUCUGUUGUUAGAGAAGCGGGAUCGAACCAGAAAGCCACGGCUAACUACGUGCCAGCAGCCGCGGUAAUAC